rnacentral:rRNA from 1 species
UUGGGGGUGAAAUCCCUAGGCUUAACCCAAGAACUGCCCUCAAAACUGGAAGGCUAGAGGACGAGAGAGGUGAGUGGAAUUUCCAGUGUAGAGGUGAAAUUCGUAGAUAUUGGAAAGAACACCAGUGGCGAAGGCGGCUCACUGGCUCGGUACUGACGCUGAGGUGCGACAGCGUGGGGAGCAGACAGG